UUACGAUUUGUAUGGACAAAAUUGUAAUAUAAACGAGGUAGUACUAAUAGUUCGUCCGUUCGUCCUCGUUUUAAGUGGUCAACAGAGAAAAACGUUUCGUUCUUGGGCUGGGCUUGACGUUUUCAUAAGCAGCCCGGACUCACCCGUCGUUGGAAUUUCUGCCCCGCACGAGAACGCGAGGGUUUCCUCCGCCGCCGCCGCUGCCGCGGCUCUAUAUCCCUCCACUCCACGGCGCCCGUCCUCGCUCCGCAGUCGCCAAAUUCGGAUGAGAUCGGCAGAAUCCACUCUCGGGCGAUGUUUCUCUCUCUGUAAGUCGCUGCCGCGACCCAUGGAAACUCCGACGAACGGAGUACAUGCCGGCGGGCCGGCGGAUCAGCGCCGGCCGCCUCCACCUUCACCUCCUCCUCCAUGACCUACGCAGCCGGACGCCCGAGGUGAUCGCGUGCUAUGAGUGCGUGUUGGUGUGUGCUUAGCCUGCUGCUGCGUGCGUACCGGCUCGCGUGCGUGUGCCUGUGUGCUGAUGGAAAGUAUGGCUUGCUAGCCAGAACAUCUUCGUGACACUGAUUGUUUUGUGUGUUCUAAAUUCUUGCAAAGUGAACUGACUAUUUGUUAUCUCUUCUCUCUAGAUCAGAGAAGAUGUUAUUGUUUUUUCAGAAAAAGGAAAUUAGUAUUUGAACGCCAUCCUACAACAUGAGUACUAGAUUUUGUAUGAACAGAUCAUAAAUAACCUGGAAGUAGCACGCUCCCUUGCUGUUGUAAUUCUCAGCGUGUACUUUUGCUACUGUACUAUUGCUUGACAAUCUGGUCUGGAUUUAUGAUAGGUAGUAACUAUGUGAUUUGUAUUUAUAUGUUGUUAGUUUGAUCCAACUGGAACUUCUUACUGUUCAAGAAUGAUGCUUCGUGAUGUAAAGAUGUUCUGUUUAAGUGGGAGCCGUGAAGGGCCUAAUCUGUGCAAUCUUAAGUUUCAGAAAUAUGGUAGUAGUCCAUAUAGAGUACAAGAGCUGACCAAUGUGGUGGUGUGGAGCAGACUGACAAUGGAAAUACCCAGGCUCAUGCUUUUAUUCUCUGUCCAGUAGAUGAAAUUAUCACAUGAUGGUUGAUGCAGAGGAGUGGAAGGUGUAUGGAGUUUCAAUUAGAUUGGGUGGCCACCGGCGUCCAUGAGACUCCAGAGCAACAUGGCAGACUGUUAGCACAUCUGCUCACAUCAUUGACAUUCGUCAUGAGUCACCCAUAGGCCCACUCAGUAACUCCAUAUCCUUAAAUUCCAAGCCUCAGAUGAUUUGCAUUAAUAUAUUAUCUCUAAUACCUUGGCCCAAACAUUGAUGGUACAUGCAAAAUUUAUAAAGCUAGAUUUGUUGUGAGUGCAUAGCAUAUUGAAAUAAAUUUGGAUGAACUAACUUGAGUUCUUCCAUCAAGUUUUAUUAUAUCAAAUCUUCAAUAAAAAUUUACAACAAAAACGACAUGUAAAUAUUGACAAGCCUGAUGUUGUGUGCCCGCAACACUUCUGCCGCUGAUUAUGAUGAUGAAUUCUUCGCUUAAAUGGAAGUUUUUCAGUGUGAACUUUUGAUGAACUAUCUUCAUGAUGAUGAUGCUAGAUGUUAUAUGAUUUGUUAUGUUAAUGAAAAUCUUUUAUACCUAGCUGACUACCCAUUAUGUUAUACUCCCUCCAUUCCUUUAUAUAAGGUGUAUUUGUUUUUUCAAAAGUCAAACGAGUGCAUGUUUGACCAAGCUUUUAGAAAAAUAUAUACAUAUUCACAAUAUGAAAUUUAUAUAAUUUGAUCCAUCAUGAAAAGUAGUUUCAUGUUUUAUCUAUUAGGUAUAGCAGAUGUUAUUAUUUUAUUCUAUAAUCUUGGUCAAACAUUUAAAUGGCUGACUUCCACGGAAAUCAAUACACCUUAUAUUCUGGAACGGACUAUGAUUUAUUUAUUUUCUCCAGUUGCAAUGCACGGGCUAUUACCAAUAAUUUUCAUUAUCAAAUGCAGUGUUAAUGAAAGGGUGUUCCUUUAUCAUGGUUAAAGGUUGCAUGUCUUCUGAUAAGUGCCUUGAUAUCUUUUCGGUCUCUACUUGAAUGUUGCGUAAUUAAUUUUUUAGUGCCCAACAAUCUUUGCACUGAUUCUUGCAAGGGAUCCUUGAGGAAGCUAAGUAAAUGACUAUUCUCAGUGGAGACGACACCAUAGAUGUUGUUUUGAAAUGCCAGGACAAAAAUAUAUACUUGAAACCCAAUGAGGUCAAUGAUGUGCGAGAUUCUUUGUUCAAAGGAUGGCUCAAAGACCAAUUACGUCAAACUAAGAAGGUUUAACCAAAAUGAUGCAAGUUUGAAUUGCCUCUCGCUUAAACUUUCUUAAUUAUGCAUUCAUCAUUUUUGAGAUGUUAAGCUCUGAUGAUCACACUACUUGAUUAUCCUAUUCCAGGAUCCGUUGAGGAAGCCAUUAAGAAAUUAAGGGAGAACAAUAUAAAGGCCUUUGUGUUCGAUCUACAGAUUAACAGAUUUUUACCUAUAGAAUUCGUGGUAGAUUUUCACCUAAUGUUGUUGAAAAAUCUAAAUCUUUACAUGGUUGUUUUGAUGCAGUGGUCGGCUUUUUCCUGAAGGGAUUGAGAUUACCAAGAUUCGGAUCAGAUCCCUGCUUUGUCAGCGCAGGAGAACUGCUCAAGCACGUAGGCACGGCGUGCCUGACGCGGAUUACACCCGAACUGCCCUCCUUUGACAUAAAAGGUACCCGAUUCCCUCGACAAAAAUCCUGACUAAAUCGCAAGUUUCCUUGCUUGAAAAUUGAUGCAUCUGAGGUUUUCAAUCUCGCCGACUUCGCUGGAGUGGCGUGCGCCCAUGCUCAAGUAGAGGUACGAAUUUGCAAUAUUAAUUGUUUUUAGGUGCUUCUACAUGAAUCCACCAUUAGUACCAACUUAGCCACCACACUUUCCCUACUGUAGCAGCCUUCAAAGCACCACUGUAUGUGGGCUCUCUCAAUGUCAUUUCAUUGGCUGAGUUGAUCUCACAGGCUAACAUCAAUUUAGAUUGCACAUUUAUCAGUUGGAUUAUAUCAUAGACUGAAGUUCAGACCAUUAUAAUGUAUGUUGCUUCUUUGAAAGUUAGACUUCAUAAAGAAGCAAUUUCAUCCGACCACAGUAGCUCUGAAAAAAUGCAUAACGGAUUUGUGGGUUCACCUUCAUGGAUGGUGCUUUUCUUGUGAUAGUGUCAUAACUGAUAAAUAAAUAAAUCUACAUUGCUUCACAUGCUAGAUGAUUUUGGUGGCCUACUGUGUGACGUAUACUUGACUGGUGAGGGCUUAAAAUGGGGCCUUGGUUUCAAAACUCUGUUUGUGCACAAUCUAUAUCCUCUAUUGUGAAGGAACUGGAUGGAGCAAGGUCCACAUGCCUUAAAUUUCUUAAAGAUCUCCUGCACUUGCUUAAUUUACCCAGUGGAGUAAACAAAAGCUGGGUCCAGUACUACUGCAUGCCUAAUGCAGAACUUCUUUUAUGCACAACCCCAGUGCGGGAGUGUGAAUUGGUGAUCCCACUACAUUGGUUAACUGAGUGCAAUGGUAAUACCGUCUGAAUUGCCUCACCCUCUUUAUACUGUCUGAUUUCACUUAGUCAUUGUUGCAUUUACCAUAAGAUUAACUUCUUAUACUGAUAUGCUAUUUUUUCUUCCUUAAGAAAUAUUGUAACGGUCAUAUCUUUUCUUAUGUUCCAUUGUUAUUGAUCUGUUUUUCAUAAUUUUAAUUCUUAUUUUUCAAUUAUUAUCUCUAUGUAUGCCAAAAGCUGGAUUCGUGACAAGUUUAUUUGGGAGAAUAGUUAUGCCCAAAUUUAAUAAAGUUUUGCUGAACAUACAGUAUCACAUAAAUCCUUCUAUCAUCUUAUUUCCAAAUGUUCAAUUUUAUGAGAGGAAUUAGCACGGCGGCCAAGUUAAGGCGUAUUUCCAUGCCGGUGGGCCGAGCUCGACGGCAAUCCGGCACAGGCGGUGUCCACCAACAGCUCCUCUUCCAAGGACAAAGUGGGCCACGCACAACAGACCUGCAUGCAGAUUUUCGUUUUCAUGUCAUUUAUUUGCUUAUAAUUUAUACUUGGUCUUAAUACUAGCUUUUUGUUUGUAAUAGUUCAUGGGGUGAAAUUUCUUCAUGACGUUGGUUCGUUUGCAUAGCCAAAUUAUUAUGAUUAUAUUUUAUUA